CCUGCCCAAUGAUGAUUUAAAUGGCUGCAGUAUUUUGACUGUACAAAGGUAGCAUAAUAAUUAGUUUUUUGAUUGAAAGCUGGUAUGAAUGGUUGGACGAGAAAAUAGCUGUCUCUAUUUAAAUUGGAUAGAAUUUUAUUUUUAAGUUAAAAAGCUUAAAUAUUAUUAAAAGACGAGAAGACCCUAUAGAGUUUUAUAGUUUUUUUUAUAAUAGAUUUGAUAAUUUCUUUUUUUAUAUUAAAAAUUAUUUUAUUGGGGUGAUAGUAAAAUUUAAUAAACUUUUAUUUAAAUUUAACAUAUAUUUAUGAUUAAUUGAUCCAUUCUAAUGAUUAUAAGAUUAAAUUACCUUAGGGAUAACAGCGUAAUUUUUUUGGAGAGUUCUAAUCGAUAAAAAAGUUUGCGACCUCGAUGUUGGAUUAAAUUUUAUUUUUGGUGUAGCAGCUGAAAAAUUAGGUC
rnacentral:rRNA from 1 species